rnacentral:rRNA from 1 species
GAUGAACGCUGGCGGCGUGCCUAACACAUGCAAGUUGAGCGAUCUUCUUCGGAAGAGAGCGGCGGACGGGUGAGUAACGCGUGGGUAACCUGCCUCAUACACAUGGAUAACAUACCGAAAGGUAUGCUAAUACAAGAUGAUAUAAGAGAUUCGCAUGGAUUUCUUAUCAAAGCUUUUGCGGUAUGAGAUGGACCCGCGUCUGAUUAGCUAGUUGGUAAGGUAAUGGCUUACCAAGGCGACGAUCAGUAGCCGACCUGAGAGGGUGAACGGCCACAUUGGAACUGAGACACGGUCCAAACUCCUACGGGAGGCAGCAGUGGGGAAUAUUGCACAAUGGGCGAAAGCCUGAUGCAGCAACGCCGCGUGAGCGAUGAAGGCCUUCGGGUCGUAAAGCUCUGUCCUCAAGGAAGAUAAUGACGGUACUUGAGGAGGAAGCCCCGGCUAACUACGUGCCAGCAGCCGCCGUAACAC